rnacentral:tRNA from 1 species
GGAGAGGUCGCAUAGCGGUCUAGUGCACGCGCUUGGAGAGCGCGCAUCCCCGUGAGGGGAUCGAGGGUUCGAAUCCCUCUCUCUCCGCCG